AUGGCCGGUAAGCAGGGCGGCAAGAAGGCGAGGAGGACCGUCUCCGGACCAAAGAAGCCUGUGGCGGCGAAGCCGGCGACGGUUCCUUCGUGCAAGUACCACCUGUCGGAGGAGUCUGUCCAGGCGGUCCUAAACCACAAGAGGGUGCCUUUCGUCCUCGGGGACUACUUCGACGACCUUACCACCGAGGAGCAGCAACUCAUGCUCGAUGUGGCCGCCCAGCACGAGGAGGUCGAGGACAGGUACGCCAAGUACCAGGAAAGAGUCCGCAAGGAGAUGGAUGAGAAGGGAUUCGUCGCACUCCCCGAUGACGUCGACGAGAGGAGGGCCACGCUGAACGCCGCUAGCAGAGAGGCUUUCAGAGGAGUCGCCGAGGUCAAGUAG
rnacentral:rRNA from 1 species